AUGGUGAUGAAAGUCAUGGUGUCUUUGGGUUACUUUGUAUCACUGUGGGUCACUUUUGGUGGAGGCACCAAACUGGAUAUUGGACGUAACACUCAGCCCACACUGACGGUCCUGCCUCCCUCCAGUGAGGAGCUGAAGCAGGGGAAGGCCACACUCAUGUGUCUGGCCAACAAGGGCUUCCCCUCAGACUGGAAGCUGAGCUGGAAGGUGGAUGGUAAGAGCUGGAGUUCAGGGGUGAGCUCCAGCCCUGAGGUCCUACAGAAGGACGGUCUGUACAGCUGGAGCAGCACCCUCACCCUCCAGGAGGAGCAGUGGACAAAGAUGUCAGUGACCUGUGAGGUCACACAGGGCUCCCAGUCUCCUGUGACCCAGACAGUGAGGAGAGACCAGUGUUCUGAGGAGUGA